UGGGGAAUUUUGCGCAAUGGGCGGAAGCCUGACGCAGCAACGCCGCGUGAGUGAUGAAGGUCUUCGGAUCGUAAAGCUCUUUCGGCUGGGACGAAAACGGUCUGGCGAAUAACCAGGCCCUUGACGGUACCGGAAGAAGAAGCACCGGCUAACUCUGUGCCAGCAGCCGCGGUAAUACAGAGGGUGCAAGCGUUGUUCGGAAUUAUUGGGCGUAAAGCGCGUGUAGGCGGCUCUGAUAAGUGAGGUGUGAAAGCCCUGGGCUCAACCCAGGAAGUGCACUUCAAACUAUCGAGCUUGAAUGCUGGAGAGGAAAGCGGAAUUCUCGGUGUAGAGGUGAAAUUCGUAGAUAUCGAGAGGAACACCCGUGGCGAAGGCGGCUUUCUGGACAGCGAUUGACGCUGAGACGCGAAAGUGUGGGGAGCAAACA
rnacentral:rRNA from 1 species